GGAAGGAUCAUUAUUGAAAUAAACCUGAUGGGUUGUUGCUGGCUCUCUAGAGAGCAUGUGCACGCCUUGUCAUCUUUAAAUCUCCACCUGUGCACCUUUUGUAGACCUUUUCAGGUCUAUGUUGUCUCAUUUACCCCAAUGUAUGUUAAUAGAAUGUUGUGACUAUAUAAUAUAUACAACUUUCAGCAACGGAUCUCUUGGCUCUCGCAUCGAUGAAGAACGCAGCGAAAUGCGAUAAGUAAUGUGAAUUGCAGAAUUCAGUGAAUCAUCGAAUCUUUGAACGCACCUUGCGCUCCUUGGUAUUCCGAGGAGCAUGCCUGUUUGAGUGUCAUUAAUAUAUAUAUCAACCUUCUCUUGUUGAAUGGUUUGGAUGUGGGGGUUUGCUGGCCUCUUAAAAGGAUUCAGCUCUCCUGAAAUGCAUUAGCAGAACAAAACCUGUUCAUUGGUGUGAUAACUAUCUACGCUAUUGAAUGUGAGGUGGCAGUUCAGCUUUCUAACAGUCCCUUGGGACAACUCAUCAUUAAUGUGACCUCAAAUCAGGUAGGACUACCCGCUGAACUUAAGCAUAUCAAUAAGCGGAGGA
rnacentral:sRNA from 1 species